UAAACCACUCCGGCUGCAGUUUGGGACUUUUGCCGAUUCCCGGCGAUUUCGGCCACCUCCGGUCCCCAUUUCUUCGUCGAAGUUAUGAAGACGUGAGGAGGAUUCCCUCGAGGAGGGUUUGGAUCGACGGCAGGCUUAGCCGUACAUUUUUGCAGGCGAAUUAGUGGAGGUCGGGCGUACAUGACAUUUGAGGCAUAGUUG
rnacentral:lncRNA from 1 species